rnacentral:rRNA from 1 species
CUCUGUGACUCCUACGGGAGGCAGCAGUGGGGAAUAUUGCACAAUGGGCGCAAGCCUGAUGCAGCCAUGCCGCGUGUAUGAAGAAGGCCUUCGGGUUGUAAAGUACUUUCAGCAGUGAGGAAGGCGGAGUCGUUAAUAGCGGCCUCGUUUGACGUUAGCUGCAGAAGAAGCACCGGCUAACUCCGUGCCAGCAGCCGCGGUAAUACGGAGGGUGCGAGCGUUAAUCGGAAUUACUGGGCGUAAAGCGCAUGCAGGUGGUUUGUUAAGUCAGAUGUGAAAGCCCCGGGGCUCAACCUCGGAAUUGCAUUUGAAACUGGCAGACUAGAGUACUGUAGAGGGGGUAGAAUUUCAGGUGUAGCGGUGAAAUGCGUAGAGAUCUGAAGGAAUACCGGUGGCGAAGGCGGCCCCCUGGACAGAUACUGACACUCAGAUGCGAAAGCGUGGGGAGCAAACAGGAUUAGAUACCCUGGUAG